CUACGGGUGGCAGCAGUGAGGAAUAUUGCACAAUGGGGGGAACCCUGAUGCAGCAACGCCGCGUGGAGGAUGACGCAUUUCGGUGUGUAAACUCCUUUUAUAUGUCAAGAAAAUGACGGUAGCAUAUGAAUAAGCACUGGCUAACUCCGUGCCAGCAGCCGCGGUAAUACGGAGGGUGCAAGCGUUACUCGGAAUCACUGGGCGUAAAGGACGCGUAGGCGGGUUGGAAAGUCAGGUGUGAAAUCCUACAGCUUAACUGUAGAACUGCACUUGAAACUUCUAAUCUAGAGUAUGGGAGGGGGAGAUGGAAUUAGUGGUGUAGGGGUAAAAUCCGUAGAUAUCACUAGGAAUACCUAAAGCGAAGGCGAUCUCCUGGAACAUUACUGACGCUAGGGCGUGAAAGCGUGGGGAGCAAACAGGAUUAGAUACCCGUGUAGUC
rnacentral:rRNA from 1 species